rnacentral:rRNA from 1 species
ACACUCCUGCGGGAGGCAGCAGUGGGGAAUAUUGGACAAUGGGCGCAAGCCUGAUCCAGCCAUGCCGCGUGAGUGAUGAAGGCCCUAGGGUUGUAAAGCUCUUUCACCGGUGAAGAUAAUGACGGUAACCGGAGAAGAAGCCUCGGCUAACUUCGUGCCAGCAGCCGCGGUAAUACGAAGGGGGCUAGCGUUGUUCGGAUUUACUGGGCGUAAAGCGCACGUAGGCGGACUAUUAAGUCAGGGGUGAAAUCCCGGGGCUCAACCCCGGAACUGCCUUUGAUACUGGUAGUCUUGAGUUCGAGAGAGGUGAGUGGAAUUCCGAGUGUAGAGGUGAAAUUCGAAGAUAUUCGGAGGAACACCAGUGGCGAAGGCGGCUCACUGGCUCGAUACUGACGCUGAGGUGCGAAAGCGUGGGGAGCAAACAGGAAUAGAAACCCCGGUAGUCCCAUGAU